CUAGCCGGUCGUAUAGUUUGAUCAGCUUAGUUGCCAAUUCCCUCGUGGGUUGCAUCUUAUUUAAAGAGGCUGUAAGGGCAAUUUGCCUAUGGCAGUCUAACAAUCAGUUUUUUAGGCGUUUUUUGAGGAAGGAAGAUCGACGUAUAAGCAGGCCUCUAAUGACGGCCUUAUGCACAGACCAUACUGCUAGGUCCGACACAUCCUUAUCAGUAUUGGUUUUGAAGUAUUCCUGUAUCUCCCUGAGAAUAGUGGAAGUGAAAUCGGGUUCUG